rnacentral:rRNA from 1 species
GAUGAACGCUGGCGGCGUGCCUAAUACAUGCAAGUCGAACGGGGAGUAGCAAUACUCUUAGUGGCGAACGGGUGAGUAACGCGUUGGUACCUGCCCCGAAGCGGGGGAUAACGGACCGAAAGGUCCGCUAAUACCCCAUGUGCUCGGCAACGAGUAAAGGUGAAAACCACUUUGGGAGGGGCCUGCGUCCCAUCAGCUAGUUGGUAAGGUAACGGCUUACCAAGGCGAUGACGGGUAGGGGACCUGAGAGGGUGGCCCCCCACAAUGGAACUGAAACACGGUCCAUACACCUACGGGUGGCAGCAGUAGGGAAUAUUGGUAAUGGGCGCAAGCCUGAACCAGCAACGCCGCGUGUGCGAUGACGGCCUUCGGGUUGUAAAGCACUUUUGACUGGGACGAGGAAGGACGGUACCGGUCGAAUCAGCCUCGGCUAACUACGUG